rnacentral:rRNA from 1 species
UGCAAGUCGACGAUGAUAAAGAGCUUGCUCUUUUGAUUAGUGGCGCACGGGUGASUAAUAUAUAGUUAAUGUACCCCAAAGACCGGGAUAGCCACUGGAAACGGUGAUUAAUACUGGAUACACCUUAUAGAUUUAAGUUUAUAAGGGAAAUGUCUUUUCGCUUUGGGAUCAGACUAUAUCCUAUCAGCUAGUUGGUGAGGUAAGAGCUCACCAAGGCAAUGACGGGUAGCGGGUUUGAGAGGAUGAUCCGCCACACUGGUACUGAGACACGGACCAGACUCCUACGGGAGGCAGCAGUGAGGAAUAUUGCACAAUGGAGGAAACUCUGAUGCAGCAACGCCGCGUGGAGGAUGACGCAUUUCGGUGUGUAAACUCCUUUUAUUAGGGAAGAAAAUGACGGUACCUGAUGAAUAAGCACCGGCUAACUCCGUGCCAGCAGCCGCGGUAAUACGGAGGGUGCAAGCGUUACUCGGAAUCACUGGGCGUAAAGGACGCGUAGGCGGGUUGGUAAGUCAGGUGUGAAAUCCUACAGCUUAACUGUAGAACUGCAUUUGAAACUACCGACCUAGAGUGUGGGAGGGGGGAGAUGGAAUUAGUGGUGUAGGGGUAAAAUCCRUACAUMUCACUARGAAUACCGARRGCGAAGGCSAUCUCCUGGAACAUARCUGACGCURRRGCGUGAAAKCGUGGKGAGCRKRCAGGAUUAGAUACCCUGGUAGUCCA